rnacentral:rRNA from 1 species
UACGUAGGGUGCAAGCGUUGUCCGGAAUUAUUGGGCGUAAAGAGCUCGUAGGCGGCUUGUCACGUCGACUGUGAAAACCCGAGGCUCAACCCCGGGCCUGCAGUCGAUACGGGCAGGCUAGAGUUCGGUAGGGGAGACUGGAAUUCCUGGUGUAGCGGUGAAAUGCGCAGACAUCAGGAGGAACACCGGUGGCGAAGGCGGGUCUCUGGGCCGAAACUGACGCUGAGGAGCGAAAGCGUGGGGAGCAAACAGG